GCUUCCUCUUCUGCCAUAAUUGUAAGUUUCCUGAGGCCUCCCCAGCCAUGCAGAACUGGCUCUGUAUCUUGCUGCACUCUCUCUUGCCUUCUUAGCUUGGAUUCUUUGAUGAAACAAGCCACCAUAUUGGAGCAUUCCACCUGCCAAAGAACUGAAGGCAAGCUUCAGCCAACAGCCAGCAAGGAACUAAGAUCUUCAGCCCAAAGCCACAGGGAACUGAGUCCUGCCAACUGCCACAUCAGUGAGCAUAGAUGGGAUCCUCCACAGUUGAACUUUCAGAUGAGACCAGAGCCACACCUGACAAUUUGAUUGCAGCCUUGCAGACAACCCUGAAGCAGAGGCCCCAGUUCAAUCAUGCUGGGAUUCCCGACCCACAGAAUCCAUGAGAAAAUAAAUGUGUGUGUUUAAGCCUC